UGACUGCUGCUGUUGAGGACCGCAGGUCCGCUGGCGUGAGGCACAACGCAGCCCCAUCCCAGCUGGCAUGCGAAAAGGAGCGCCAAUCUGAAGAAGUGCAUUGUGUAGAUUGCUCUCAGGCACCCCAUUUGACAUUUCGCAUAAGCUCGCGCAGCUGCGCGGUGCAGGUAUAGAUCUGCUUAGUUUUAUCUACGCACAGACACAUAUACACCGCUUACCAUAGACGUUGAUAGAAGCAUCGAGUCUCUCCCGUCCCCCCUUCUCCCCCCACAUCCAGGACACGUAGAAGGAUUCACAAAAAGAGAGAGACAUACACGUACGCGCCCACUCACCAAUAGGCAAUGCCCUCGCAGCAGCAGCACUCGGUGGCCUCCGAGCUGCUGGUGAACGAUCGCAUCCUUGUUGUUCCAGCGCCACCCCUGUCCAUUGCCACCGUCGGCGAUGUGGUGUGGAUCACCUUUUCAGACGGGGAGGUCGAGGUGCGCAACACGCGUACCGGUGAGGUGGUGCGCCGCUUUGAGCCGGCCGUGUCCGCAGUGCCCGCAUCGGGCCCCAGCGACUCGGCUGCCGUCGGUUUCUUGUCGAGCGUGACAAAUCGGAUGUCUGCCGUCGGCGUCGGCGGUGCAACCGGCACGUCCGCGCCACUGAAGCGGCACAGCUACAAGGAUACCGCGACCGCGCUCACCGUCCACAGCGCCGCCGUUGUUCGCGCACUUCUCGCGGUGCCGACGGCGGACGGCGAAAUGCACGUGUGGAUGGGCCUGUCUAACGGCUGCAUUGAAGUGCAUGAUGGGGACACGUUUCCUAGCCGCAGUGGCGAGACCGCCGUCGGCGCGUCGAAUCGCCCUUCCACAGGCAGCCUGAUCGCUCUGCUACGCAAGCAUACCGCAGCCGUAACGAGCCUGGCGGAGUUCGGCGGCUACGUCUACUCGGGCAGCGAAGACCACCAGAUUCUGCAGUGGCGGGCGUGCCAAUACAUGUACGCCCGUUUCUUCAGCAGUCACUGCCCGCAUGAUGGACCGGUGCGCUGCUUGUACGCCGAGGGCAACGCACUUGUCUCCGGAUCUGACGACUGCACGGUGAAGGUGUGGGACAUCGGCGAGGGUAGCAUGCGACUGACAGGGUACUUCCACUCGCAAAGCGGUGGGGUGCUGGCGCUGUGCCGUGUUGGGGAGCUCAUGUGGUCUGGAGACGCCUCUGGGCAGGUGGUGCAAUGGCACCUUCGCACCUGCGAGGCAGUCGGCAUCCACGCCCCGCACAGUGGCCGCGUGCUGUCGCUAUGCCGCGUCGGACAUCGGGUCUACUCCGGCUCCUCGGACGGCACCAUGGGCAUUUUCGAUGCUGCCAGUGGACAGCUGCUACAGCGCAUCACGGAUCAGGCACUCGGCUGGGUGAGCGCAGUCGAGUGCCCUGCCAAGCUGUCCCGCUUUGUGGUGUGGUCUUGCAGCGCUGACGGGGCGGUGCGGUGCUGGUACCAGGACGAGUACGCGAGCAUGUCAGCAGACGAAGCGCGCUUCGACGAUGGUUCGUGGUACGACUCAGGCUCCACCCCAUACCGCGAGUUCCGCGCCUCUGUGGGGCAGCGCACGCAGCGACUGAAGCAGCAACUCGAAGCCAUCGAGCAUCGUGACAACCAAGCCAUGGCGCUGCUGCGCCACUGCAGCACGGUUUUCGGCGGCAGUGUCUUGGAGCGCGAGAUGCAGCAGCGGCGGCUGCAGGACCAGCUCGCCCAGCUAGGAGAAAGGUGCCGCGUCGCGGAGGAACGUCUGGCAACAAAACGCAGCAACAUAGCUCAGAUGGAUCGCGACAUUGCCGCGGCGCUGGCACUGCUUCAAAACACGCGAUGUGAACUGAAUCUGCUCAUUCCUGGCGAAGCGGAGCGGGUGCUGUCCAGCCUGCCGGCGGUGACCACAGAGGAUCUCGUCGCCUACACGCCAACGCUGGCGUCGGCGAUGCUCGGCACGAGCGCUACCGCACCGUCUAUCACCACAACCACCACCGAUGGUUGUGCAGCGGUUGCUCCACUACCCCUCUCGUCAUUGAGUCGCCCCCUGCCACCCCCCACAGUGACAGUACCGGGAUCUGCAGUGGCAGCAUCCGCAUUACCGCUGCCGCUGGCAGCCACCACAUCAACCUUAGGUGUGGGCGGACCGCUUUCAGGCGUACCACUACCACUCCCGCCACCCGUGGCAGUGGUACCGCGGCUGGGAAGCGACGGAAUCGCCGUGCCAGCCCCGGGAAGCGCCAUUUCGCUACAGCAGCAGCCCUCAGUGCCCACAGCCGGUGCGCCUGUGCCAGCGUUGACCGCAGGUAUAGUUCCAGCCGUCGGCACUGCAGCUACAGUUGCGGGUGUGGGUACGGGUAUGGGUGCUGCGGGUGCGGGUGUAGGUGCAGGUGUCGGUGCUGCGGGUGCGGGUGUGGGUACGGGUAUGGGUGCUGCGGGUGCGGGUGUGGGUACGGGUAUGGGUGCUGCGGGUGCGGGUGUGGGUACGGGUAUGGGUGCUGCGGGUGCGGGUGUGGGUACGGGUAUGGGUGCUGCGGGUGCGGGUGUAGGUGCCGGUGUCGGUGCUGCGGGUGCGGGUGUAGGUGCUGCAGGUGUGGGUGUGGGUGUGGGUGCGGGUGCGGGUGUGGGUGCCGGCUCUACUGGGGCGUGCAGUGCGCCUGCAGGAGUUGGUGCGGAUGCCGCCGCAGCCGAAAAGAGCGCUGGCGCCUCCCCAUAUCCAGACGACGGCUUUAGAUGGACGAACCCGCACGUCGGCAAUUACAUUCAGCGACGCUACUACGGUGCCUCGCCGAGUCUGCGCACGACAGAUUUAAUGAAGCGGGAGCGGCGCCGCGGACGUCUGCCGCGGGUGAAGGUUGAGGCGCUACAGCGAGACCGUUCUCGCUCCCGGUCACCGCCAACCGCCCUCGAGGCGAAAUCUCGCUCCGCCAGUGCCAAGGAGAAGCGAGCGACAAUCACCACGAAAACGGCAACAACUGCGGUAAAGACGAGUUCAACGAAGGCGGCUACGUGACUUCGUCUGCUCUUGGCGAAUAGAGGGACGCUAGAUGCAAGUAAGGUACGGUCCUGCCGGCACACAGGGCCGGCGCCCCCCCCUCUCCCCUUCUCACCGCCACCACUACUCUCUCUGUCCCACCUGCCGCAUGCAGAGAUGGUGUGCGGACUUGUAGAUCGCGUAGGAAGGACAGCUAGCGUAUACAAGGUGCUGCGUCCGACGGCAAUGCCGUGGUGUUGCACCUAUUUUUUCCUUUACUUUUCGACGUCUAUUAGGUGCGCCGCCCCGGCGCGUGCUCCACAC
rnacentral:misc_RNA from 1 species